AGGUAAUAGAUACCCUGGUAGUCCACGCCGUAAACGAUCAAUACUAGGUGUGCGGGGACUGACCCCCUGCGUGCCGGAGUUAAACACAAAUAGGUAUUGCACCUGGGGAGUACGAUCGCAAGGUUGAAACUCAAAGGAAUUGACGGGGGCCCGCACAAGCGGUGGAUUAUGUGGUUUAAUUCGAAGCAACGCGAAGAACCUUACCAGGGCUUGACAUCCUACUAACGAAGUAGAGAUACAUCAGGUGCCCUUCGGGGAAAGUAGAGACAGGUGGUGCAUGGUUGUCGUCAGCUCGUGUCGUGGGAUGUUGGGUUAAGUCCCGCAACGAGCGCAACCCUUAUUGUUAGUUGCUACGCAAGAGCACUCUAGCAGGACUGCCGUUGACAAAACGGAGGAAGGUGGGGACGACGUCAAAUCAUCAUGCCCCUUAUGACCUGGGCUACACACGUACUACAAUGGUCGUUAACGGAGAGAAGCAAGCCCGCGAGGUGGAGCGAACCCCUAAAACGCCGUCUCAGUUCGGAUUGCA
rnacentral:rRNA from 1 species